AAUUAUACAAAUAGUAUAAUACUAAUACUAUUAGUGUAGCCUAAUCUUUAUCUGCAACUGUGCAGAAAUGCCAGGUUUAAAAAGAAUGAAUAGACAUGCAAAAUUCACACAAAAAAGCUGUGCAG